CCUACGGGAGGCUGCAGUGGGGAAUAUUGGACAAUGGGGGAACCCUGAUCCAGCCAUGCCGCGGGUGUGAAGAAGGCCCUCGGGUUGUAAAGCACUUUCAGUGAGGAAGAACGCCUGGUGGUUAAUACCCAUCAGGAAAGACAUCACUCACAGAAGAAGCACCGGCUAACUCCGUGCCAGCAGCCGCGGUAAUACGGAGGGUGCGAGCGUUAAUCGGAAUUACUGGGCGUAAAGCGCGCGUAGGUGGCUUGAUAAGCCGGUUGUGAAAGCCCCGGGCUCAACCUGGGAACGGCAUCCGGAACUGUCAAGCUAGAGUGCAGGAGAGGAAGGUAGAAUUCCCGGUGUAGCGGUGAAAUGCGUAGAGAUCGGGAGGAAUACCAGUGGCGAAGGCGGCCUUCUGGACUGACACUGACACUGAGGUGCGAAAGCGUGGGUAGCAAACAGGAUUAGAUACCCCUGUAGUC
rnacentral:rRNA from 1 species